GCGAGUGGCGAACGGGUGAGUAACGCGUGAGGAACCUGCCUCAAAGAGGGGGACAACAGUUGGAAACGACUGCUAAUACCGCAUAAGCCCACAGGUCGGCAUCGACCGGAGGGAAAAGGAGCAAUCCGCUUUGAGAUGGCCUCGCGUCCGAUUAGCUAGUUGGUGAGGUAACGGCCCACCAAGGCAACGAUCGGUAGCCGGACUGAGAGGUUGAACGGCCACAUUGGGACUGAGACACGGCCCAGACUCCUACGGGAGGCAGCAGUGGGGAAUAUUGCACAAUGGGGGAAACCCUGAUGCAGCGACGCCGCGUGAGCGAAGAAGUAUUUCGGUAUGUAAAGCUCUAUCAGCAGGGAAGAAGAAAUGACGGUACCUGACUAAGAAGCACCGGCUAAAUACGUGCCAGCAGCCGCGGUAAUACGUAUGGUGCAAGCGUUAUCCGGAUUUACUGGGUGUAAAGGGAGCGCAGGCGGAAGGCUAAGUCUGAUGUGAAAGCCCGGGGCUCAACCCCGGUACUGCAUUGGAAACUGGUCAUCUAGAGUGUCGGAGGGGUAAGUGGAAUUCCUAGUGUAGCGGUGAAAUGCGUAGAUAUUAGGAGGAACACCAGUGGCGAAGGCGGCUUACUGGACGAUAACUGA
rnacentral:rRNA from 1 species